rnacentral:rRNA from 1 species
UACGUAGGGUGCGAGCGUUAAUCGGAAUUAUUGGGCGUAAAGCGCGCGCAGGCGGUCCUUUAAGUCUGAUGUGAAAUCUUGCGGCUCAACCGCAAGCGGUCAUUGGAAACUGGGGGACUUGAGUGCAGAAGAGGAAAGCGGAAUUCCACGUGUAGCGGUGAAAUGCGUAGAGAUGUGGAGGAACACCAGUGGCGAAGGCGGCUUUCUGGUCUGUAACUGACGCUGAGGCGCGAAAGCGUGGGGAGCAAACAGG